rnacentral:rRNA from 1 species
GGGAAUAUUGCACAAUGGGCGCAAGCCUGAUGCAGCGACGCCGCGUGAGGGAUGACGGCCUUCGGGUUGUAAACCUCUUUCAGUAGGGAAGAAGCGAAAGUGACGGUACCUGCAGAAGAAGCGCCGGCUAACUACGUGCCAGCAGCCGCGGUAAUACGUAGGGCGCAAGCGUUAUCCGGAAUUAUUGGGCGUAAAGAGCUCGUAGGCGGUUUGUCGCGUCUGCCGUGAAAGUCCGGGGCUCAACUCCGGAUCUGCGGUGGGUACGGGCAGACUAGAGUGAUGUAGGGGAGACUGGAAUUCCUGGUGUAGCGGUGAAAUGCGCAGAUAUCAGGAGGAACACCGAUGGCGAAGGCAGGUCUCUGGGCAUUAACUGACGCUGAGGAGCGAAAGCAUGGGGAGCGAAC